CGAAGGAAACUAUCAGUACGAAUAAAUAUUUUAUUUGCCGUCAACCAAAAUUACAAAGUAUCAUUUUUGUUUUCUGUUUUUUUUUUCGUUUUGUAGCAAAAAUGUCAUUUAUAUCGAACGUAGUCAAAUUUAAUAAUAUAGAUUAAUGGCCACGCCAUACAAAGACAGGUGUGGUGAAAUACAGGUGAUAAAAGAACAAAACGACAAAAAAGUUUUUUUGUUAUCGGACAACUCCUUUUUGAAGGAAAAUUCAUUGAUAGCAACAUUCAAAUAUCG
rnacentral:lncRNA from 1 species